rnacentral:tRNA from 1 species
AUUUUCUCAGUGUUAGGCACGAGAAGAUUUGAGCUUCUAAGAGGGCUUUGCCCAGAAAAUA